rnacentral:snRNA from 1 species
AUCACUUCUUGGCCUUUUGGCUAAGAUCAAGUGUAGGAAUAUAUUGAGAGUGGUUUUCCAUAUCAGUAAAUAUUUCCUGCUUAUAUUUACUAUGACAGUGCUUUUAUCAUUAUAAAAAUAACAAAGGACUUAUG